UAAAGCACAAGUGAUCCAUGAGGCUGUCUCUUUGAGCCUCAUUGCCUGUAAUUGUAAACAUCUGAACUUAGGGUUUUCAGGAAAAGCUCUCCCCUGCAAUCCACGCAGAGAGUUAAGAAUAGCCCAGCCUAAUGACUGUUUUUGUCUGACGAUGCUCCAGACUGCUUGUCAUGAUCGUCUCAACACAGGGCAAAAAUGACUUGCUGGCUGGCAAGAUGGUUCAGAGGUGGAAGACCUUGCCACCAAGCCUGACAACCUGAGUUUGAGCCCACAAGUGGAAGGAAAGACCUAAAUCCUGCCGGGAUGAGCUUUACCCAUGGUGGCCUGUGACCUCGCCUUCCUUGCUGAGUGAUGGAAGCAAGCUGCAGAACACGAUUGCCCCUCCCUUCUUCAUUGCCUUGAAUCCUGGACUUCAGAUAUCCAUCCCUUUCUUUUGUUGAAAGUGCCCAUGGAGGCCGGAGGUGCUGGAUCCCUGGAGCUGGAGUUACAGCUGACUGUGAGCAACCUGAUAUUGGUGCUGGGAGACAUACUUGGCUCCUCUGGAAGAGCAAGAAGAGCUGUUAACUGCUGAGCCAUCUCUCCAACCAUUUAUUCAUCUCUUUUUAUGAAUAUUCUUAUUCGCUUUUCCCUUUCUCUUAUUAAUUAAUAAAUUCUAUG